rnacentral:rRNA from 1 species
GGCAUUGAUGGGUAGCUGGUCUGAGAGGAUGAUCAGCCACACUGGAACUGAAACACGGUCCAGACUCCUACGGGAGGCAGCAGUGGGGAAUCUUGCGCAAUGGACGAAAGUCUGACGCAGCCACGCCGCGUGAGUGAAGAAGGCCUUCGGGUUGUAAAGCUCUGUCGAGCGGGACGAAAAACGGUCAGGUGAAUAGUCUGAUCGUCUGACGGUACCGCUAAAGGAAGCACCGGCUAACUCCGUGCCAGCAGCCGCGGUAAUACGGAGGGUGCAAGCGUUGCUCGGAAUUAUUGGGCGUAAAGGGUAGGUAGGUGGUCUCAUUUGUCUGGGGUGAAAGCCUUGAGCUUAACUCAAGAAGUGCCCCAGAAACGGUGAGACUGGAGUCCUGGAGAGGGUCGUGGAAUUCCCGGUGUAGCGGUGAAAUGCGUAGAGAUCGGGAGGAACACCAGAGGCGAAAGCGGCGACCUGGACAGGUACUGACACUCAACUACGAAAGCGUGGGGAGCAAACAGGAUUAGAUACCCU